GUUAGGAAUAUUGGACAAUGGGCGCAAGCCUGAUCCAGCCAUGCCGCGUGAGUGAUGACGGCCUUCGGGUUGUAAAGCUCUUUAGUCCACGAAUAUAAUGACUGUAGUCGGAAAAUAAGCCCCGGCUAACUUCGUGCCAGCAGCCGCGGUAAUACGAAGGGGGCGAGCGUUAUUCGGAAUCACUGGGCGUAAAGCGUGCGUAGGCGGCUUUGCAAGUUGGGAGUGAAAGCCCAGGGCUCAACCCUGGAAUUGCUCUCAAAACUGCAAGGCUCGAAUUCGGGAGAGGAUAGCGGAAUUGUCAGUGUAGCAGUGAAAUGCGUAGAUAUUGACAGGAACACCAGUGGCGUAAGCGGCUAUCUGGACCGAUAUUGACGCUGAGGCACGAAAGCGUGGGGAUCAAACAGGAUUAGAUACCCCAGUAGUCC
rnacentral:rRNA from 1 species